AUGCAAGUCGAACGGUAGCACAGAGAGCUUGCUCUCGGGUGACGAGUGGCGGACGGGUGAGUAAUGUCUGGGAAACUGCCUGAUGGAGGGGGAUAACUACUGGAAACGGUAGCUAAUACCGCAUAACGUCGCAAGACCAAAGAGGGGGACCUUCGGGCCUCUUGCCAUCAGAUGUGCCCAGAUGGGAUUAGCUAGUAGGUGGGGUAACGGCUCACCUAGGCGACGAUCCCUAGCUGGUCUGAGAGGAUGACCAGCCACACUGGAACUGAGACACGGUCCAGACUCCUACGGGAGGCAGCAGUGGGGAAUAUUGCACAAUGGGCGCAAGCCUGAUGCAGCCAUGCCGCGUGUAUGAAGAAGGCCUUCGGGUUGUAAAGUACUUUCAGCGGGGAGGAAGGUGUUGUGGUUAAUAACCGCAGCAAUUGACGUUACCCGCAGAAGAAGCACCGGCUAACUCCGUGCCAGCAGCCGCGGUAAUACGGAGG
rnacentral:rRNA from 1 species